rnacentral:misc_RNA from 1 species
UGUAAACAUUGUAUGGGUCAUGAGGUCUGCUUUUGAAAUGUUCACUUUUGUAAUAGCUUGUCAAAACGGGUCGGGCCAAUAGCCCACCUGGAGUUUUCGUCUCGGAUUUGAUAAACAAGAAGUAUAGUCCUUUGCCUUUGUCUAAUCCAGGCACGUAUAGGUUCAUAACUGGCAUAAGAAGACUGUAAAGUAGCUGGCGACGAUCUAACUCUUCUUUAAUUGUUG